rnacentral:rRNA from 1 species
CAGAGCGGGGGAUAGCAUUGGGAAACUGGUGGUAAAACCCCAUGGUGUUGCUGAAUGGCAUCAUUUAGCAACUAAAGUUUACACUUUGAGAUCGGUGUGCGUCUGAUUAGCUAGUUGGCGGGGUAACGGCCCACCAAGGCGACGAUCAGUAGGGGGUGUGAGAGCAUGACCCCCCACAUGGGUACUGAGACACGGACCCAACUCCUACGGGAGGCAGCAGUAAGGAAUAUUGGACAAUGGGCGCAAGCCUGAUCCAGCCAUGCCGCGUGAAGGAUGAAGGCGCUCAGCGUUGUAAACUUCUUUUGGACGGGAACAAUAGCUUCGACUUGUCGAGGCUUGAGGGUACCGUCAGAAUCUUCUAAGGGCUAACUCCGUGCCAGCAGCCGCGUUA